AUUGGACGCUGGCGGCAUGCCUUACACAUGCAAGUCGAACGGCAGCGCGGACUUCGGUCUGGCGGCGAGUGGCGAACGGGUGAGUAAUACAUCGGAACGUACCCUGUUGUGGGGGAUAACUAGUCGAAAGAUUAGCUAAUACCGCAUACGACCUGAGGGUGAAAGUGGGGGACCGCAAGGCCUCACGCAGCAGGAGCGGCCGAUGUCUGAUUAGCUAGUUGGUGGGGUAAAGGCCCACCAAGGCGACGAUCAGUAGCUGGUCUGAGAGGACGAUCAGCCACACUGGGACUGAGACACGGCCCAGACUCCUACGGGAGGCAGCAGUGGGGAAUUUUGGACAAUGGGGGCAACCCUGAUCCAGCAAUGCCGCGUGUGUGAAGAAGGCCUUCGGGUUGUAAAGCACUUUUGUCCGGGAAGAAAUCGCGCUGGUUAAUACCUGGCGUGGAUGACGGUACCGGAAGAAUAAGCACCGGCUAACUACGUGCCAGCCGCCGCAGUAA
rnacentral:rRNA from 1 species